GAGUCUGUGGGUGACUUUCCACCGAGGGGGAGGCUGGGAGACGCGGAGGGGACGCUGCUCUCUCUGGCAGGUGGGGCCGCGUCUGCCGCUGGGGCGCAGAGGGGAUGGGGGUGCCGGAGUGGAGGGAGGAGGGGCCAGAAGUCUGGCAUCACUUGUGCUCUCCCCUCCUGCUGGCCCCUGCCGCCGUCCCAGACCUCACCAGGGACACCGCAACCUCCUGCCUGUGACCUGCACCAAGGAGGACUCCUGGCUGGCCUAGAACAUUCCAGGGAAGAUGAUUCCGCAAGUCUCAUAUCAAGCUGCCCAGAGCCAAACAGCCUAUCCUACUCUUUUCUCCUCCAGACAUCCCAUCCAGACGUCCACGGUAGGCGACGGACCCGGCUCCCCUCUGCCUCUCUGACCACCCGUGUCUCUGCCUUCUUACCCUGCGGGCUGCCCAGCGGGGUGGGGAGGCUCUGAUCACCCCAUUCCCCUGGGGGAACACAGGGCCAUGUCCUCUCGGGGAAAUGGGGGCAACGGAAGCCGUGGGUGGAUGGGUCCAGGUGACGCUCGCACACGCCGGUGACCCAGCAAGGCCGUCCCGCCCCCUUCCUAGAAGCUCCCCGCCCCGCCUCCACACCUGGAUGAGCGUCCCCGCCCAGGCGCCCCGGCCCCACACGGCGGAGCCCCACACUGCUUCAGCUUCCCUCCUGUGUCCCAGCCUAUGUGGAUCGCCACAGAACUUUCUGGACCCUCUCCGCUUUCCUAAAAUACUGUGGUGAGAUCAGGAAGCCCCACGCAUUGUAAGUACCCAGUGCAGUGGGUUCUGAAAAAGAAGACCCCCUUAUGACCAGUUAAGAAGUGGCACGUGGCCAACACCCUUGAAAGUUCCUUCACAGACCUUUCCAUCCCGUGUUCCCACCCUCCGGGGUCACCAGUCCUGGGAUGUCUGUCACCGAAAGACGGAAAAGCGUGCAACGCACUGUUUAGGACCUGGCUUGCUGUGCUCAGCAUGUCGAGGGGCAUGCGUUUGUGGCAUGGUCACGGGCUUGUGCGUCUCACAGCUUAUCUGUUCGCCUCUCAGUGGACAUUUGGGUGGUGUCCCAAGCUCUCUUUUUGGGGACAUUCUCGCACAGAUCUUCAUAUGGACAUGUGUUGUCAUUUCUUUGGAAUAAAUACCUGGGAUUAGAAUUGCUGGGUCAUGGCGUCGGGGUACCAUCAGCUCCGUAAGAAACCGCCCGUUUUCCAAGGUGGCCGUGGGGUCCUGCCCUCCAGCCUGAGCUGCACUCAGGGCUGGACACAGCUGAUCUCCCAUCAGGGAUGACCCAGCCUCCCUCCUGAGGACAGAAAGGGGUUUGCAGCAUCUCCUGGUCAUGCUCCCAUGUUCAAGGUGCUGAUGGCAUCACUGCUGGUUCUCGUCCUCCAAUUCUGAAAGCCAAGCCCUACUCUAAUGCCACAGAAGGGAAGUCCUGCUUAACUGCAAAUCCUGCCACGGGCCAGCAGUCCUGUGUAGCAGCUGACAUUACCACCCAAAGCCAAGCCUCGGGGGAGUCGUAGGAUUGGCCUGAGGCCACACGAUGUCUUCGUCAGCUUCUGCUGCUACAGCAACACCCCUCAGACUUGGGGGGCUUAAACAAGAGGGACUCAGCUCUCACAGUUCUUCAGCCUGGGCAGUCCAAGGUCAAGGUGCUGGUGGGUUCUGUGUCUGGUGAGACCUCUUCCUGGUUCACGGAUGGCCACCUUCCCAUGCUGUCCUCACCUGGCCUUUCCUUGGUGUGAGCUCAUGAAGAGAGAGCUCCCCUACCUCUUCCACUGCCUGUAAGACCCCAACCCCAUCACAAGGCCCCCACCCUCAUGACCGCAUCUAACCCUAAUUACCUCCCAAAGGCCCCACCUCCAAAUACCACCCCACAGGGGCUUAGGGCUUCCUCACAUGAAUUCUGGGGAGGGUUUAGGGCUGGCUCUGCCUGGGAUAGAAGGCUCCUGUGUGUGUCCCAAAGGAGUAGGGCCUCCCUCUACCUGCUGUGCUGUGAACAUCACCAGGACACUGUCAACUGAGUGACGACUCCCGGACUCGCCAGCAAAUCGAUGGGAAGGAAGCACCACGGCGAAGCCUCCGUCCUAGUUGGUCAGAGCGCAAGGUAAUGGGAUUUCAGACCCAGGAGUGGUCUUUGGUGCCAUUUCAGACCCCUGCACCGUGAAUCCCCCGUUAGCGAACGUGAGUACUGACGGGUGGAAGGGAGCCCUUGCUGAAUGAAUGCUACCCACAAACGCUGGGCCUGGUGUCUGCAGGGCCCUCCGCGGGCGUUCCCGCAGGUGGCCUUCUCCAUGCCUGCCCUGUGGGAUAGGUCGCUUUACCCUCAUGCUGCAGAAGAGGGUCCGGACACCAGGGCCCAGACCCCACGGGGUGGUGGGGGAGGCACAGGGACCGAUUCCGGUCUUCUCUACCUCUGCACCCUGGACUUUCCUUCAUGCCCCAUUUUUCUUUGUCCUGCACAGAAAGCGGAUCUUUCUAAGGAGAGAUAAACCCGCCAGAGCCAGGAUGAGGGUAGGGGAAAGGGGGUCCAACCACGUUGCAGGGUAGGGCCAGGUGCCUUCAUGUCCUUCUGUCCCUGGGAGUCUAAGACAAUCCCCACCAGAGAGACCAGCACGGGGUUGGUAGAAUUCUUUCCUGGACUCAAUGGGGAGAUGCCCACUGGGCUCAUCAGGGGCGCAGCACAGGGGUUGGAGUGUGCCCGCAUGGAAGGGCAGAGGGAGCUGUAUCGUCACGGGCAGCCGCUGAGAAGAGGUGCCCAGAGCCCCUCCAGGGGAGGUGGCAGGAGCUAAGUGACACGUGAGAGGAAGUGGCUUCCGGCAGCUUCCUGCACGCACACCCAAGGAGGUUCAAGUCUGAGCUGUAGGUGAAGAAUGAUUUCCCUACUAUGGCAAGAAAGGAGAAAAAAAAAAACACCCCAACAACAACGCAAAACAUCCGGCUCUGUAAUAACAGCCUUGCGUGGUGUGGGGGGCAGGGGACCCAGACACAAAACACGCCCAACGUGGAGUGGCGCUUUGGGGCAUCAGCCGCAUCCCGGAGGCCCAGGUCUGUCCUGCUACGGCCCCAGAAUGCGUUCGUUUGGGCCCGCCCAAGGACGCAGGAUUCAACCUCUCCCCUUUGUGUUAUUUGUUUUAUUUAUCUCCGCCUUGAAACCGUAGUUCUAAACACUGCAGGCCCUUGACUGCUGACUCAGCUGCCAGAGCCAAAACUCAUAAAAUCCUGUUUCCAAAAGGUCCAAUGAUUUUAUUUUCUGACCAUAAAUAUGAAAUUUAAUUAGCAGCUUGCUGCUAAUGAAGUCACCACAGAAGCCAGCCUGGAGACCGCAGAGCAGGAGCAGAGCAGGAAAAGACCAUCCCACAUUAAACAGAACCUGUGGACCUGUUAACCCUUGCCUCUCCCUCUGCCCUUCGCCACAACCCCUGAAUCCUGGAGAGCAAGGGAGCAGACUCCGAGCGGGAAGGACAAGGCGGGGCGGGGGUUGCUCACUUAGAGACUGGGAUGUGGGUCGGAUGUCCCCUCCGGUUGGUGGGAAGUUCCUGGGUACUCUGGCCUGGCUGUGUCUCCACGGCAGGGUGGGGGGGACUGGAAAGAGGCUGAACAAAAAAGAACUAAAGCUAAGGAAGAGCCCCGUUACUCUGUUUCGUUGGACACUUGGGGCUAUUCACACUUGACCAAACACAUGAAUUCCAACACCCGCCCUGCUCCUCCAACUACCCCUGGUCUCAGUUUAACUUUUAUAAAAUGGAGUCUAUAAAUAAUCUAUAAAUAGUUUAUCUAUAAAAUAGGCAUAAUGCUCACAGCUGGUGGAAUUUUAGUGAUGAUGGAACAUAAUUCUAAAGCCCGUGCCUGGAAUAUAGCAGGUGCUCAAUAAAUGGGAGCCAUCAUUAUUAAUAUC